GGGCGAUUAGCUCAGCUGGAAGAGCGCUUCGGUGACAUCGAAGAGGUCGCAAGUUCAAGCCUUGCAUCGCCCACCA
rnacentral:tRNA from 2 species